AGAACGAACGCUGGCGGCAUGCCUAACACAUGCAAGUCGAACGAAGCCUUCGGGCUUAGUGGCGCACGGGUGCGUAACGCGUGGGAACCUGCCUUUAGGUUCGGAAUAACUCUCCGAAAGGGGUGCUAAUACCGAAUAAUGUCUUCGGACCAAAGAUUUAUCGCCUUUAGAUGGGCCCGCGUUGGAUUAGCUAGUUGGUGGGUAAAGCCUACCAAGGCGACGAUCCAUAGCUGGUCUUAGAGGAUGAUCAGCCACACUGGACUGAGACACGGCCCAGACUCCUACGGGAGCAACAGUGGGAAUAUGGACAAGUGGGCGAAAGCCUAGACCCAAGCCAAUCGCCGCGUGAGUGAUAGAACGGCGUUAAGGGGUUAGUAAAGUCUUACGUUUUACCGAGGUAUAGAUAA
rnacentral:rRNA from 1 species